CCGAAGUUUCUCUCAGGAUAGCUGGGACGGGCUCUGUUUCCGAACGGCUUGUGAUCCCACAGUGAGGCGCAUCAGCAAUGGAGUUUCGUCCGGUAAAGCGAAUGACUAGAGGCACGCGGGGGUGCAAGGCCCUCGCACUAUUCUCAAACUUUAAAUGGGCGAGAACCCCGGCAUUCGUGCUCGAUGCACGGGGCGUCCAACGCGGCCAGCACCAAUGCGCUCCCUGUGCCAACGGACUCUAGACUCUCAUGCAAUUUGUUUCUGGCUUCUGCUUUUGAUGGAAUGUGGUGUGACUCAGGUCUAGUACGAAUCAUCCCGAUCCUCAGUGGGUCAUUUCUGGUAAGCAGGACUGAUAAUGAGGGAUGAACCUAACGUUGUGCUAAGGGGCCUAAACGACAGCUAUCUCUUGAUACCAUUGGAAGGGUGCUGCUGGCUGAAGACAGCAGGACGGUGGUCAUGGAAGUCGACAUCCGCUAAGUAGUGUGUAACAACUAAUCCUGCCGAAGCGAGCAACCCUGAAAAUGGAUGGCACUCAAGCUCUCUCCCGAUGCACAACCGUCGGUGGCAAUAAAGGCUUGCGAAAGAACUGUCAGAACUAUAAGUCUCAAAGCCCCGACGAGUAGGGUGGCGUGCCGGUAAGCACUGAAGGCCAAGACGUGAGUCAGGCUGGAGCUGCCGGUAAUGCAGAUCUUGGUGGUAGUAGCAAGUACUCUGGUGAACAACCUGGAGCUGUGAGGCUUGGACAAGGGUUCCAUGUCAACAGUGAUUGAACAUGGGUGAGUCGUACCUAAGCCAACUGUGAAAGCAGUGACAUCCCGUCAAGGGCAUUGCACAUACACACACAACAGCAUACUGUCUCUGUCUCUCUUUAAGCACGUGAUGCCGAGUCUCUUUCAGCAGCGCAAAACACAGGCAAGGCAAGCAAGGCGGUGGUAUCUUGGAUGUGACUCAAUUUCGAAAAAAGAUCGAUCGGGGUUGAACGAACGCACAAAACUCUGGUCAGCUCUUCUGUCCUAUCGGUUUGGGUUUACAGAGUACCCAUCUGACGAAAAAGUGCAAGUAGUUCUCUCCAUCAGUCAGGCACACGGUAUAUGAACCUAACGUACUGAGGCAGGCAGGUGAUAAAAGGAAGGAAGGGGCAGGCAGGUGAAAGAGAGAGACUCGAAACGGCUGAUGCUCGCGCCCCUCGUGGCGUGUGAAGAAAGGACUUGUGUGUGUGUGUAUACACGUGUGUGUGCUCUAAGCUCGAGAUUGGUUUUAAUGUCUGGCGAAAGGGAACGGGGACUUUGUUCCCUGACCGGUCCCGGCACCCUCGAUGGCUUCCGCCUAUCACCGGUCGGAGUAAUCCGAACCAGGCCACAGCCGCCGGCAGCCGCCCAAGGAAGAGUUUUCUUUUCUGCUUAACGCACGAGGUCAUCCCUGGAAGCAGUUCGGCUGGCGACAGGGUGUCCCGUUGCGGCAGAGCGCCACGACUGUCGUGUGCGUCUUGGUGUUUCUGCUGGUCCGUGAAAACGUGGUCGAGGGGAUCUAGCAAUGGACUUGUAGUCAAAAACGUAGACUCUCUUUUCCUCUCUCCUCGUUGGGGAGGGGAGAGAGAGAGCUUCUGCUAAAACGCCCGACAAGUUCGGGACUGACCGUACCCUAUAUCCGCAUCCGGUAUCCAAGGUUCGUAGCCUCUGCAGUCCCAGACACAUGUAGGUAAGGGAAGUCGGCAAACUCGAUCCGUAACUUCGGGAUAAGGAUUGGCUCUGAGGGCCGAGCUGGGCCGGGCUUGCUUGCAACGCAGUACCUAUAGUGACCGGAGUUUAAGGAGUGUACGGGGCCUAAGUAAGGUCUCUCUCUCUCCUUCACGGGAGUUGGGGGGGCACGAACGGGUCUACUGCUCCGCUCCAACCACGAACGGCUGUGACGGCAGGUCUCUGGUCGGGUGCACAUCCAAAUGUUGGCCUCCAGCAUGUCUGGUUGGCGGCAGUGCAUCUCGUCCGACGGCUCCAGCGACUAGCGGCUAACUCAGAACUGUCAUGGACCAAGGGAAUCCGACUGUCUAAUUAAAACAAAGCGUCGUGACGGCCCCUGUUGGGUGUUGACGCGACGUGAUUUCUGCCCAGUGCUCUGAAUGUCAAAGUGAAGAAAUUCACCGAAGCGCGGGUUAACGGCGGGUGUAACUAUGACUCUCUUAAGGUAGCCAAAUGCCUCGUCAUCUAAUUAGUGACGCGCAUGAAUGGAUUAACGAGAUUCCCACUGUCCCUAUCUACCGUCUGGUGAACCAACAGGCAAGGGAACGGACUUGCAUGAACACAGCGGGGAAAGAAGACCCUGUUGAGCUUGACUCUAGUCUGAAUCUGUACGGAGACAUCGGAGGUGCAGCAUAAGUGGGAGGGCCAGGGUGCUUCGGCGCCCACCGAACCGUGAGAUACCACUACUCCCUUCGUCUCCGUACUCCACUCGGUUAUCGGGAGCAAAUACAAAGUGAAUGACGGCGACUGGAUGCUUCGUGGUUGAGUGCUUCGCGGUGUCUUUGCGUUCUCGUCUACGUGCCUUCGCGGGUGCGUGGGUGUUUGCGUGGAGCCCGUGUUCUCUCUUCCACACCAAAGGGGCUCCUGCCUCAUCCUGCUGAGGACAGAUUCAGGUGGGGAGUUUGACUGGGGCGGUACAUCUGUCAAACGAUAACGCAGGUGUCCUAAGGCCAGCUCAACGAGAUCAGAAAUCUCGUGUAGAGCAUAAGGGCCUAUGCUGGCUUGAUCUAGACUUUCAGUAUGAGUACGGACGGUGAAAGCCAGGCCUAUCGAUCCUUUUGACGUUACUGAGUUUAUAGCAAGAGGUAUCAGAAAAGUUACCACAGGGAUAACUGGCUUGUGGCGGCCAAGCGUCCUUAGCGACGUCGCUUUUUGAUCCUUCGAUGUCGGCUCUUCCUAUCAUUGAGUUGCAACCGUCGCCAAGCGUCGGAUUGUUCACCCAUAUCAGGGAACGUGAGCUGGGGUUAGACCGUCGCGAGACAGGUUAGUUUUACCCUCCUGUGGUCUGAAGCUUUGACUAAGUCUAAGCUUGUCGUGUCGCUAUGGAAGUUGUGGCCAGUACGAGAGGAACGUCACAACCGAACCUCUGGUCCCGGACUCGGCCGAGAGGCCGGUGGUCCCAGGCUACGUUCGUACAAGUAAGGCCGAACGCCUCUUAAGCCUGAAACCAUUCCAGAACAUGAGCGACGCUAUCAGCAGUUGGCCUCUACGCUACGCGCUUGCGCGUGUGUGGCAUCGGGUGCUAGCACCUCAGGUCUCCUUGUGGGGCCUGUACAGGUGUAAGCCCGGCGGAUACAAGACAGAGCUGUUGCACACGUGUCCAUCACCCCUCGUGGGCUGGGCACACUCAAGGUCUGGUGCUUCGGUUGAAAACCGCCGGGCUAGGAAUGCCCAUACAGAUCAGGAAAGUCUGUCCAGA
rnacentral:rRNA from 1 species